rnacentral:rRNA from 1 species
UACGAAGGGGGCUAGCGUUGCUCGGAAUCACUGGGCGUAAAGGGUGCGUAGGCGGGUCUUUAAGUCAGGGUGAAAUCCUGGAGCUCAACUCCAGAACUGCCUUUGAUACUGAAGAUCUUGAGUUCGGGAGAGGUGAGUGGAACUGCGAGUGUAGAGGUGAAAUUCGAUAGAUAUUGCCAAGAACACCAGUGGCGAAGGCGGCUCACUGGCCCGAUACUGACGCUGAGGCACGAAAGCGUGGG